AUUGAACGCUGGCGGCAUGCCUUACACAUGCAAGUCGAACGGCCGCACGGGAGCAAUCCUGGUGGCGAGUGGCGAACGGGUGAGUAAUACAUCGGAACGUGCCCAGUAGUGGGGGAUAACCCGGCGAAAGCCGGACUAAUACCGCAUACCACCUAUGGGUGAAAGCAGGGGAUCGCAAGACCUUGCGCUAUCGGAGCGGCCGAUGUCAGAUUAGCUUGUUGGCGGGGUAAAAGCCCACCAAGGCGACGAUCUGUAGCUGGUCUGAGAGGACGACCAGCCACACUGGGACUGAGACACGGCCCAGACUCCUACGGGAGGCAGCAGUGGGGAAUUUUGGACAAUGGGCGCAAGCCUGAUCCAGCCAUGCCGCGUGCGGGAAGAAGGCCUUCGGGUUGUAAACCGCUUUUAGUCGGGAAGAAAAGGCCACCUUGAAUACGGGUGGUUUUUGACGGUACCGGCGGAAUAAGCACCGGCUAACUACGUGCCAGCAGCCGCGGUAAUACGUAGGGUGCGAGCGUUAAUCGGAAUUACUGGGCGUAAAGCGUGCGCAGGCGGUUCGCUAAGACAGAUGUGAAAUCCCCGGGCUUAACCUGGGAACUGCAUUUGUGACUGGCGGGCUAGAGUAUGGCAGAGGGGGGUAGAAUUCCACGUGUAGCAGUGAAAUGCGUAGAGAUGUGGAGGAAUACCGAUGGCGAAGGCAGCCCCCUGGGCCAAUACUGACGCUCAUGCACGAAAGCGUGGGGGAGCAAACAGGAUUAGAUACCCUGGUAGUCCACGCCCUAAAACGAUGUCAACUAGUUGUCGGGUCUUCAUUGACUUGGUAACGUAGCUACGCGUGAAGUUGA
rnacentral:rRNA from 1 species